rnacentral:rRNA from 1 species
AUACGAAGGGAGCUAGCGUUGUUCGGAAUUACUGGGCGUAAAGCGCGCGCAGGCGGCCUUUCAAGUCUGGUGUGAAAGCCCGGGGCUCAACCCCGGAACUGCAUCGGAAACUGAUCGGCUUGAAUACGGGAGGGGUUAGUGGAAUUCCAGGUGUAGGGGUGAAAUCCGUAGAGAUCUGGAGGAACACCGGUGGCGAAGGCGACUGACUGGACCGUUAUUGACGCUGAGGUGCGAAAGCGUGGGGAGCAAACAGGAUUAGAAACCCGAGUAGUCC